rnacentral:lncRNA from 1 species
UUUUCGGUCUAACAGCAAGAGAUUUAUUUUUAAUAGAAUAUUGAUAUUAUGGUACAAAAUGGCAUUUGGUGUUUACUCCCCCUGCCCCCCACCCCCCGCCAGCAAUACAGUUCAGCUUGGUGUGUUAUGUUGAAGCCCUAGCACCCUGUAUUCUGCUGGUCUGGUUUUUUUUUUUUUUUCUCUUGGGGGGGAAAGUUGCAGACUUUUAUGAACUCUCUGAUUAAAGUACCUCCAUCUGAAUGCAGAUUAAAAGUUCCAACACCUGAGAGCUCAAAACCAAUGAAUAUUUAUACCGAAAACCAGCAGAUGAAUACACUCUAAAUCUUCAAAUGCAAGUCUAGUCAUGGGUUUUAUCUUAUUUUAGGACUUACUUUUAUUAAAAUGAAGUCUUGCAUAUUUACACUACAGAAAUAAAUGUUAUUUGCAAGCACAAUACAGUGGAGACCUUACGAAUGCUGGCUCUGGGGAAGGCAACUUGACUCCUCAAGCAGAUUUUCCUUAUUUAUCAGGUCUUCGUUGAAGCGGUAUGUUAUUGUAUGUGGUUGGUAUAAUUUGGGACAGUGAAAAUAUAUUCAUCUGGGAGAGAUUAUUCAUUUAGUGGCCACGAUCAUAGUGGGUCCCUUCCUAGAUGGGGGAUUUCAUUGAUUUCACAAUUUCCCCCUUUUAUUGGAAACUUCUUUCUGGGUUGCUUUUCUAGAAGGUAGGGAUUUGUACAAGCAAGCACGAUGGAACAUUAUUUGAGCAACAAGUUGAUUUGCCUUUUCUGUGAGGUGGCUUCACACAUUUUAGUUUGAUAGCUAAUGCCCCAGUUAACAGUUGUUAGGUGCUUCCUCUAUCAGAAUAAGCAGCAAACCUGAGGCAUAUGCUAAAAUCAUAAUCUGCCUCUAAUAAUAAUAAUAAUAAUAAUAAUCAGAACGAACGACAGCUGGUCCUCAGAACAAUUAGCUCCAGAGAAUGGUAGGAGUUGCUAGGUCAGGCCAAAGUUUAAUGACGCCAAGACCAGCUUCUAACCUGACUUAUCAAUAACAUAGGUAAAGUAAAUAUUGUCACCAACCAACACCACUGGACAAGAAAUGAUUCCAAAACACAUUAAAAAGUGAUGAUUUCAAAGAUACAGAAAUGUUCCAUUUUAGAGUAACUAAGCUGAAGGUGAAAAAUAAGUCCAUUCCUUCCCUAAUCCCCUUGCAACCUCUUGCUGUUCAUUAAAGUACAAUAAACCCCACAUAAAAAAGCCAAGUGGGAUUAUCAGAAUUUAGAGAAAUACAAAUUUUAAUUGAACCCACUAUGUAUCUUGAGACUUCCAUGGCCUCACAAUAUUGAGGACGUAGAAUGUGCACAUUUGCCAUCAUAUUUCUAAACUUAUUCCUUCUUUUUCAUAAAGUAAGCUUAGAGAUAAAUGUUUACCCAGUCAUCAUUUCUUCAUUUUAAUGCUUAAACGCUUCAUUUUGAUUGCUGCCUUUUUGACAUUUCACCAAGGAAAUAUGUUUGCGUGUUCGCAAUGCCAUUGAAUCAGCAAUUAGAUCUCCAUAUUCCAGAUGUCAUGAGAGUUUUCAAUGCAUCUUCCAAUAAAAUUUAUUUCCGAACUUUGAAAAAAAACCCACAAAUGUACUUUGUAUGAAUUAAGCAUAUUAUCCUUAUUUUUCUAAUUGCUACAUUUAACACAGAGAGGGCAUCUGAAUUUAUAAUUCAAGGAUUUCACACCGUUCUACAUAAUAUUUUUUCUUGCAAUGAAUACAGUUUUGGAUUAUUUAUGGGAGCAACUUAGGCAUCUUGAUACACUAAUUUUUUUUUCCCCCGGUGAAACAGGAGACAUGGAGACAAAUUUGUGCCAUUAGCAGCGUGCUACACUCUUCAUCCUUAUGAGUCUGCCUUGAGCUUUGGCACUCUGGCUAGCACAGGAAAUACACUGUCAAAAGUGGACAAAGAGAAAUGGAAUUCUGGUCUCAUUCCUGCUUUCAUUAAGACUUUUCACUUAACUCCCUUCCUGUAGAUCUCACAUUGCUCUGAUACUCCUUUAGCAGAUGGAGUUAGCUUGGAGGUACAGCUUCUGUGACACCUUGGCCAUCAUGUGUCACCAACACCAACCUUUUCCCUUUUCAGCCUUUGGUCAACUGAAUAUACAGUUUCCCUGCUCUUUGCAACAGACUCUAAUUGGCUCAGUAAAAAAUACAAUAAACCGAAAUGGCCAUACAAUGUGCAAUAUGGCUCCACAAUGACAUUUAAAUGGGAGAGGAGAGGUACCUCUGUUUCCCCCAGAACUCUUUUCUUCUCCAAGAUUCUGUUCACCUGAUUUGGAAAUGCACAUGCACACCAAAUCAUCAUCUUCAUUAACGUAGGAGCACGGCCAAGUGAGCAGAGUAAUCCUUCCCCGUGGCCCUCUUACAGGGCACACCCAUCACCAUGGAGGGCCCUGGCAGACAGCUGAGGUUCUACUCCCUCUAUUAUUCCCAAGACAACUCUUUUGGCAUUUUCUCCUCUAAUAAGAAAAAUGACACAAUCCAGUGCUCCUUCUGAUGGAAGGAUUUUGCUCGGUGUUUACCCAGUUCUGAGGGUAACACUAGAAGAGCUUGACUCCCUGUUCUCCUCCCAUCCGUAAAAUGUUUUGCAGAUACCUCCUUCUGGUCCAUCCCACCUCUUGAAAAAUGUGCCUGAGCAAAAACUCAUCUGUUAGUAAUAGAACUGAAAAAUGCCUCAUUCCGGCUAGAAGUGGUAUGAGAGCUGCUACUGCUCCAGCAAAUUUAUUUUGCCUUUCAAGGGUUUAAUUGCACACAACAUGGUGCAGUUUUGAUUAAUCCUUCAGAAUUUAAUAUAUACUCUGGGGGGGUCAAUAUGUUGAUUCUUCAUGCAUCGCUAUCAUGGGAGUAACUGGAAUGCGUUUAAACACCACAGGAGGUACACUUCUCAGACUUACCUGGUCCUGCCAAGGGUAAAAAGUGCUCAUUAAUGACUCCAUCCAGGAGGGGAGCCAGCAGAGGGGGUAUGCUUCCUUUCUGACACUAUUUCUGGUUUGCUUGGCAGGCACGUUUCCCUUGGGGAGGUCCCAGGUGAGGCACACACUGGAAUCUUCCAGGCUUAUGCCCUGAUCAUUUUAAUGAGAAAGCAGUGUCGAAAUAUUGGCACCUCGCAUCUAGCCAACAUAUGGAGCCACUGUACAGGCACUUAAUUGAACUGUUUCAAGAUUAUGAAGGGUAGAGUCAACCGGGUCAAUGAGUGUUUAUUCUGUGAACUCAGGCUAUGAAGAGGUGAUUCAAAGGUAAUAACAAGUCCAUUUGCCAUUUUCACAAAGAAUGGCCUUUUAGAUUCUAGAAUCUAUGUUCCUGCAGCUGGAUUUCUAAUGGAGCACUGGAAGACCAAGAGUUAGAAAGUGUCACUAAACAUGUGAACAGGCAUAUUAAAAUUUCAUGAUUUGAGUGAAGACAAGCAGACUCUUAAGUUAUCUCUGGAAAGUCAGAAUCAGAGGUGAAGAACCACAAGAACAGUGCUAUGGAAACGCUGCACUUGUGAACUCAUUGUACCAACUAUCCCCAGGAGGGAGGUCUGCUUCAACAGAAGCAGAGAAAAAAAAUAGAACACAAAACACAGAAUCAGAGGGAGACUCGAGUCUUGGCUCUGCUGCUCUUUAUAGGGUUAAACAGCCUUUUCCAGCCUGUUUUCUCACCUAAAAAUUGUAAUAUUAGUCCCACCGAAUGGGGUCUAAUGCUAUGGGAUGAAUGGUGUCAUCCCCAAAAUUCAUAUGUUGAAGUCCUAACUCUUAGAACCUCAGAAUGUGACUGUAUUUGGAGAUAACUACCUUUAAAUAGGUAAUUCAGGUGAAAUGAGGACAUAUGGGGGUGCCUAAUGCAAUAUGACUUGUGUACUUAUAAAAAAAGAGGACAGUUGGAUACAGAUCCACACAGAGGAAAGACCAUGUGAAGACAGAGAAGAUGCCACCUAUAAGCCCAGGAGAGAGGCCCUGGGAUGAAAUCAAUCCUGCAGACACUUUGAUCUCAGACUUCUGGCCUCCACAACUGUGAGAAAGUAAAUUUCUGUUGUGUAAGCCAGUCGGUGGUAGUUUGUCAUGGCAGCACCGGUAAACUAAUACAGAUUAUUCUGAGCCUCCAGUGUCAUCGGUACAAUAGGUGCUCAGCAAAGCUAGGCCUUCAGAGAGUCUUAGUUGCUAUUCUAUUCUCCCUGACCCCAUUCCACAGACACAAACAGAAACAGAUUGAUGAAGAUGAGUUGCCUACAGGUGAUAUAAUAAGUGAGGAAGGAAGAAGUCACCUUCCAAAAUUCAGAGACCCAGACACCCAAUGCAUGCCGGGUCUACUGGACCAUACUGCCUCCCCCCACGAGAAAUGGGAGCACAGUGGGCAUAGGGAAUCCCAUCCUACAAAGAGCCUACAUGAGAUUCCUGGCUUCUGGCCAAGGAGAGAUUCCUAUCUCAAUGGAACAGCAACAUUUCCAACCCACAAACAACGGGUCAGUGGGAGAGGACUGUGCACAAGCAAACGGCUUUUGCAAAAUCCCUUCUCCAAAGUGCUAUCCAAAUAAUCAAUGUCUAGCCCAUCCCUCCUCCAUAUAGAGACAAAACUACCUGAUAAUUUUAUGAUGAAAACUAACCCAAUUCUAACCACCUCCCCCAAAAAGGACAUCCAACAUGACUAUGAAAACUUUCUCAGUCAUAGUCAUAGGUUUUCAUGAAAGCAUCUGAGGAGCUUCAUGCCAAAGAGAAAACCAGGGCACCAGGAGGCCAGGGGUAGUGUGGAAACCAAGGCUCUGAAUAUAUAACUCCCCACAGCCCUGGGCUGAGUGAUCACCAGAUUAAACCAGCUAUGAGACAUCUAAAAGUUAGAACAACAAAUGCACUGCCAGGUUUGCAGUUAAACUGCAGUCGGACAGGGCCACCAAGUCAUGUGUGCCCCCCUCUUAAUUCCCCCCUGAGGGUCAGGUAAUUCACCCACGACCUGAGAAAUGUGCACACCCACCCACAGCCAGAUCUACUUUGGUUUUUCUAGUUAAGUCAGGUCUCUCUCAACCACCAAUUCUUGGCAUUUCUAAGAACCACAAGCAAAGGGACAAUUGGAUGCAGUCCAACUGCAGUGAAAUUAGAAGCUGCCUUAGAUACACCAGGGUAUACAGAACAGGGACUUGUUUACUCAACAUAUAAGUUAAGGUCAACAAGGGAAGGAACGCUUCCUGUUCAUAAAUCCUUUAGGGCUGUUUGUUUUGGGGCCUGGUGAAAUCCCAAAGUAUGUGCCUGGGAAUAACCAGCUCGGUCACAUGAAAUGCAUUCUCUUUUGCAAAUCGCUUUCGUCUUACCAGGCCUACCAGGAUUCAGUUCCUGCUUGUUCCUGUUAAGAAGCAAAAGGGUAGAAUUGUGCCUCUUCUCACAAAGGCAAAGGCCUGUGGCCAUGAAGAUAGUCAGCUCUUCCUUCAGACUACCAACUCAAUUCGACUGGAAACAUCAGGAGAAAUCCACCUGAAUGCAAAGGUCCUAGUGUGUGCAUGCACGUACAUUUCACCCUGCCCAAAAACACUGCAGAGCAUUGAUUUAGAGACUUGCUCCUUUAACCUACGAGACACUCUGUGGCCUCUAUCCAGCACCUCUUGUAACUUCUGUGUUUGGGGCCAUAUAUUGUGAUCUACUGAGAGAAGCUUGUUUCCAUUAGUAACGUCUCCUUGUAAACUCCGUGGGGUUCUCCAGGGCAGUUUUUCUUCCUUUGAAUCGAUGGGGGAUGCAAAGUGGGUUAAGCUAUUUCAAAAGAAGCAAGUCACUAAGUUGUUUUUCUCCCCCAUCACAAACUUUUAAUUACAUAUGUUUACUAGUGAAUUUUUGCUAAAUGGUAAUUUAAAAAAAAUCAACUGACAUUAAUGACUCCAAGUGUGAAAUACACAGAUUGCUUAAGUAAACAUCCCUUUCUUUUUCACACAGUGUAAGUGGAGAGAAAAACAGACUUUUGCUCUUCAUUGAUGAAAUACUGUCUAAAUGAUCUCAUUUAGCGACAAACAAA